AAACUAUAAUAUUAUUUCUGGUUUCAGGUGCUGUUGGAUCCGAUGAAUCGAUCAUACAAUCACCGAAACAGAUCACAGUUACUGAAGGCGGGACUGUGCGGCUAAACUGUGCAUUUGUUGGCGACACAAUCAGUUUAAUUGGGUUCAUUAGUUGGUACAAAGACGUGGAAACUCGUGCCGUUUCCAACACGAGCGGCGACUAUUAUGGUCGCGUUCUGAAAUAUAAUUCACCGGGAAUUAUAAAAGAAUCCAUCGAAAUCACUGACCUCAAAAUGAACGAGACAGGAAGGUAUUACUGCCGAUGGACUGGUUUCACAGGGGAAAUAUAUAAUGGUCACGGCACCAAUGUCACGGUCACACGCCGGAUCCCUGUAGAAAGCCCUGCAUGGGGAUUACGUUGGCAGCUGCUGGUAAUGGGAGUGAAACUUGCAACGUUCAUUGUGAUCAACGUUAUAAUAGUUUUCAUCAUCCGCUCAUGGGAGUCUUGUGGAUUUGCCAGCCGGACAAAAGAAGCCUAACAGGCUGGUCAAACGACCAUAAGUGUUGAACUCCCUACAUAUUUGAAUCAACUCAUCCAACAGAUCAAACCAUGAAAAGCAAACUCAUUACUGAAUCAACAUUAGCUCAGUCAGCUGUGCUGAUACUGUUGUGGGCCAUUUGGGAUAAUGUAAUUUGUGAAAUCUUACACUCAUUAAAACUCCACAUUGCCUUCUUGUUUGUUCGUUCCUGACAACAACAGAUUCAAGUCAGAGUGGUUGCAUUUCAAACGCAGACCAAUAGACAAUAGACAAUAGACAAUAUUUGGUCUACAGUAUACAAGCCCAGCCGCUCCAUUCUCUCAGCAUAUGACAGUCCCGCGUUCCCGGGAAUUAACCUUGUAAACCUAUGUUGCACUCCCUCAAUAGCACGAAUGUCCCUCCUCAAAUUAGGGGACCAAAACUGCACAGAAAACUACUCCAGGUGUGGUCUCACUAAGGCCCCAUACAUCUGCAGAAGGACCUCUUUGCUCCUAUACUCAACUACUCUUGUUAUGAAGGCCAAUUCGCUUUCUUCACUGCCUGCUGUGCCUGCAUGCUUAUUUUCAUUGACUGAUGAACACGGACCCCCCAGAUUUGGUUAUACUUCCCCUUUUCCAAAAUUGACACCAUUCAGAUAAUAAUCUGCCUUCCUGUUCUCGCCACCAAUGUGGAUAACGUCACAUUUAUCCAUAUUAAACUGACCUGCCAUGCAUCUGCCCACUCCCCCAACCUGCCCAAGUCACCCUGCAUCAUCAUAGCAUCCUCCUCAUAGUUCACACUGCCAAUCAGCUUCGUGUCAUCUGUAAAUUUGUUAAUGUUGCUUUGAAUCCCUUCAUCUAAAGCAUUGAUGUAUAUUGUAAAUAGCUACAGUCACCAUUUUCCCCAGAGAUGCUGCCUGACCCGCUGAGUUACUCCAGCUUUUCGUAUCACCUUUUUCGGACAUGGACUGAUGGAUCUCCCGGUUGCAAACCAUUUUAACUCUCCUUCCCAUUCCCACACCGACCCCCUCUGCCCUGGGUCUCCAUUGCCUGAGUGAGGCCAUUGGGGAAACGGAACUUGAUAGUCCAUCUGGACAGCUUAGAACCCAAUAUUUUCCAAUGUCAGGUAAAUCACCUGUAACCCCCCUCCCUCCCUUCCCCCACUCUCCCAUGUGCCAAAGCUGGAUAUGCACCCAUUUCCCUUCCCCGCCCCUUCCGCCUUUCUUCCUUCCUCUUGUUCCGCAAUCAUAUUUUCCAUUCACACCUCUAAUUCCCUCAUGGAAUGCCUAAUUGUAUCAACUUCCCUUACCCUUUCACGCAGCGAGUUUCAGAUCCACGUGACACACUAUUGCACCUGUAUACGAUUUGUAUAGAUUGUAUCAUGUGUGGUGGAGACGUUCACGUGUCGCAUGAACACUCAUUUAAUAUUUAAACACACACAGUGUAAUAUACAAUAGACAAUAGGUGCAGGAGGAGGUCAUUCGGCCCUUCGAGCCAGCACCGCCAUUCAAUGUGAUCAUGACUGUUCAUCCAACUCAGUACCCCGUUCCUGCCUUCUCUCCAUAUCCCCUGACUCCGCUAUCUUUAAGAGCUCUAUCUA